rnacentral:misc_RNA from 1 species
GAUGAAGAACGCAGCGAAAUGCGAUAAGUAAUGUGAAUUGCAGAAUUCAGUGAACCAUCGAAUCUUUGAACGCACAUUGCGCCCGGCAGUAAUCUGCCGGGCAUGUCUGUCCGAGCGUCAUUUCUGCCCUCGAGCGAGUCCAGCAUCUAGGUGCUGGGCCCGCCCGGCGUUGGGGCACUACGGGAAGCCCUGUGCUGUCCCCCGUAGGCCCCGAAAUGAAGUGGCGGUCCUGCCGCGGCGCCCCCUGCGUAGUAUAACAGCUCGCUUCGGGACCCGGUGGAGGCCUGCCGUCAAACCUUACUCUCUAAGUUUGACCUCGGAUCAGGUAGGGUUACCCGCUGAACUUAAGCAUAUCAAUAAGCGGAGGA